rnacentral:tRNA from 1 species
UGGGCUGGAGCUCAGUGGUAGAGCGUCCGCCUCGCAUGUGUGAGGCCCUGGGUCCGAUCCUCAGCAGCACAU